ACACAUUUAAGAUUGGCUCAUUCUUGUAAUUCAUUGCCAAUUAUAGCCAAACCAUCCCAUACAAACAUAAGCAUACAUAAAUUUGUGGGUCAUAGCCUACUUCAAAGUAAACCUAUUCCCAUGGCCAAAUACAAGGAGAUAUGUAAAUUUUUACAAACCUUCAUAUUGGCAAUUCAAACAACACAUAUCACAAAAUGAACCAAAGCCCUAAGCCAUUGAACAAAAUAAAAGUGCCUAUAUACUAAAGCUAGACUAGUUGAUAGUGUGUUGAGUCUCCAAUCGUCUUCAAAUCUUUACAAGUCAUUAAGCUCUAUAAGACAGGGAAAAGAGAGGGGUAAGCAUUUACAUUCUUAAUAAGCCCGAAUAACUAAAAAGUAAACUUACCGAUUAAUUAGCAUACAACCAUCUUAAGCAAUAAAACCAACAAGAAUAAAAUUGUUUCCCUAUCACAUGCACUCAAUUAACAAGUUAGUCACAAUAAUAAUGUACCAUGUAAUUUGUCUUAGAUGAGCUCAUCAUCCAACAUUUUCAUUUUUAUAUUUCAUGUUAAUCCCGUUGAGUUUCUUGAAAAUAUCAAUGGAUUAUCUAUUUACCGUCAAGUCAUAAAGCGAUCAUCUCAUGUACGCAUUCCUACGAACCUCACAUCUUACGGCAGUAUUACCAGUCAAGGCUAAAAUCCCUCGCAUUGUAAACUCAUAAGGUGAAGUCGGGAUUACCAGUCCAAGCUAAAUCCCUUACAGAGACAAACACCCUAAACGAGCUCGGAUCUGAAUUACCAAUCCAGGCUAAAUUUAGACCCUAAUCGAAUUACCCAUCCGGGCUAAAUCCUUAAUGCACACAUAUUCUUCGGGAGGCUCGAUCACUCAACGAACACCCGUCCGGGCUAGAUCCUUUCUAUAUUUGAGAUCAACGGAUUACCCGUCCAGGCUAAAUCUUUUCUGCAACACAUGCAGGAUCUCAAGUCAUAUGUAAACAUGGUUCAUCCAUCGAACUUCCUUUUCAACCUCAACCAAAACAAUUACCAACAUGUUAUUAUUAAGAAUGCAUUUCAUAGAUUGUCAUGCCAUCAUCAAAUACAAUUAUCAUACAUUCAUAAAUUAUUCAAUUAAGCAUACAAUGAGUUUACUUUGAGUUAUUCGAACUUAUCUAGUAUUCGUCUCGAUAUCGUGUUUUGGUUAUUCCGAAACCUUUCGUUUUCCUCGAUUGACCUCUGGAAUUUGUUCCUCGGGGUCUAUAACAAUAAAAAUAAAUCAUUAAUACUCACAUUAUAUUUUUUGAGUCUUAAUUUCACCCCUGGUCCAAAUGAUCGUUUUGCCCCUAACAUUUCAUAUUUUUACGAUUUAGUCCCUAAGCUCGUAUAAUGAAAUGCAUGCAAUUUCUACCUUACCCAAGCUUAGCCGAAUGUUUUUCCCUCUUACGAUGGCCUACAUUUUUCCAUUAUAUCUCAUUUCUACCACACAUUUUACAGCUUUUGCAAAAAGGUCCUUUUAGGGGUUUUUCAUGAAAAUCACUUAGGAAAAAGUAUUUAACACACAUCCAACUUUAAUAUUCCUCCAUAAACCAUCAAAAUACAAGUAACUCAUGCAUGAGUAAAUUUCCAAUCAUGAACCCUAGUAUGAAAUAUGGGUAAAAUUAGAGAAAGUAAACUACCAAGGAUUUUAAAAAUACGAAGAAUAUUAAAAACAAGGCUUGUGAGCACUUACUAUUUAACUUGAAAAUGUUGAAAACCCUAGCUAUGGUGGCUUGAGAAUUUCAACUGGACAAGAGAGAAGAAUGGCUAAUUUUUGCCUUCUUUUCCCAUUUUAUUUCAUUAAAAUGCCAAAUGACCAAAAUGCCCUUUAAGCCAUUUCUUUAGAAUUUAAUCCAUACAAGCCCAUUUUUGUUCAAAAACUUAGAAAUUAGGAAAAUUUCUCCCAAAUACCUUUUAAUUUAUAAUCUAAAGCAAUUUCAUACAAAUUGUUUCUAGAAGCUAAGUUUUGAAAUUUAUUCAAUUUGGUCAUUAUUUCCUAUUUAACACAUACUUAUUCUCAUAUUCUAAACCUCAUAAUAAUCAUAAAACAAAUAUUUUAAUGUCAGAUUUAUGGUCCUGAAACUACUAUUCUGACUAGGCCCUAUUUCGAGAUGUUACAUCAAGUAAAUAGGAAAAAAAUAGGUUCUACUGGAAAAAUUAGCUAUGCUGGCUGAAGCCGAUAGAGAUGAUAAAAAUUUAGCCGAAUUGAUUGACACGAAAAGUUAUUUAAAUUUUGAGAUUGAGAAAGAUGAACGUUAUUGGGAGUAAAGGGCUAGACUAAAUUGGCUGAAAUUUGGGGAUAAAAAAAUUGCAUUUUUCACAGUCAAACGUCACAGUGCCGAAGGACAAAUUUUAUUCAUAGGUUGUAAAAUGAAGAUGUGAGAGAAAUGGAGGCCUUAUAGGGAAUCGAGGAGGCUGCACGAUCUUAUUUUCUAAAUUUGUUUUCUGUAGUGGAAAGGGGAAAUUAUGACCAUUUGAUGACAGGAAUUGAUCAAUGUGCGCAUCAGGAAGACAAUCGACAACUUACAGCACCAUACACAAAAGAGGAGAUUCAAGAAGCAGUGUUUGCCAUGAGACUCACAAAGGCACCAGGGGAAGAUGGAUUACCAGGCCUUUUUUAUCAGAAAUGUUGGCACAUUAUUGGAGAGGAAGUCACCUCUUUUUGUUUACAACUUUUGAAUGGGGACAUGGAGGUGAGUUUAAUUAAUUCUACUAAUAUAGUGCUUAUUUCGAAAGUUUCCAAUCCUUCUAAUAUGAUGGAGUUUAGGCCAAUUAGUUUAUGCAAUGUACUUUAAAAAAUUUUGGCUAAGGUAAUCGCAAAUCGAUUUAGAGGAGUUAUUGAAAAAUGUAUUGAUGGUGCGCAGAGUGCCUUUGUGCCAGGACGAUUAAUAUCAGACAAUGUCUUAUUAGCCUAUGAAAUAUUGCAUAUGCUAAAACAUAAGAGAUCGGGGAAGAAAGGAUAUAUGGCAGUUAAACUCAACAUGAGUAAAACAUAUGAUAAGGUCGAAUGGAAUUUUAUAAGAGAGAUAAUGAUACAAAUGGGAUUUGAUCAAAAAUGGGUUGAUGCUCUUAUGAAAUGUGUAACUACUGUUUCUUAUUCAGUGGUCAUUAAUGGGCAUAUUGGAUAAAAGUUUCUACCCACAAUAGGUCUUAGAUAGGGCGAUCCUCUAAGCCCGUUUCUCUUUCUUUUAUGUGGAGGUCUUUCGGGCUUAUUAAGACUUGCAACAAAUGAGAGGUUUUUCAAAGGUGUUAAGGUUGUAGAAGCGGUCCACUGAUUUCCCACCUUCUAUUUGCCGAUGAUUGUAUUUUAUUUGGAGAUGCUACAACCAAUGGAGCACACUUAUUCAAGGACAUCUUACGUGAAUAUAGAUCGUCUUCGGGUUAAUGCGUGAACUUUGACAAAUCAACAGUAUUUUUUAGUAGGAAUACUACGGAGAAAGAUAGAAGAUUAGUUGUCAACUUACUGGGGGUUCACAACUCGAAUUAACCAGAAAGAUACCUACGGUAGCCCAGUAUGGUGGGUCAGAGGAAAAAAUAAUCUUUUCAAAAUCUGAAGGAUUGACUCAAAAACCGAAUUGAUAAUUGGAGUAAUAGGUUCUUAUCUCAGGGUGGAAAAGAAAUUUUUAUAAAGGCCAUUCUUCAAGCUAUACCUACUUAUAUGAUGGCUUGUUUUUUAUUACCUAAAGCUUUAUGUGAUGAACUUGAAAGUAUUCAUUGUGAGUUUCUGGUGGCAGAAGGGACAUGGAAAAAAAGUAUCCAUUGGUGCGUUUGGAAAAACCUUUGUUUUUUGAACGAAAAUAGUGGAUUAGGUUUUCGAAAUUAUGGUCAAUUCAAUAUUGCGUUAUUAGCCAAACAAGGCUGGCGUCUUAUUAAUUAUCCAAAUUCAUCGUUGGCUAGAGUUUUAAAAGUAAAAUACUAUCUGCGAUCAAAUUUUCUAAAUGCAGAGUUGGGGAAUUUACCUUUUACUUACCUAGAAGAGUAUUUGGGCUGUAAAGGGACUAAUCCAAAGAGGGCUAUGCUGGAGAGUGGGCAGAGGGGAUAACAUUUCAGUCCGGGAUGAUAGCUGGGUUCAGGGGAUCGACAAAGUUGAAGGAAACAACAGACCAGAAAAUGAGGAGCUAUAGUUAGUUUCGGAUCUCAUUAACAUUCCGAACAAAAAGUGGAAGACGGAUUUGAUUUACAAUACCUUUUCAGCAGAAAUUACGAAGAAAAUUUCACAGAUCCCACUUACAGAGACGGACCAUGAAGAUAUUCAAGUCUGGAAAGGAGAACCGUUCGGGGAAUUUUUAGUUCACAGCGCCUAUAAACUAUUACAAGGGGCUAAUCCGGAUCCUAGUAAUUUCUUAAUACAAACCGAAAUUACAGAUUUCUACAAAAAAUUAUAGGGUUUACAACUUCCUUCAAAAAUCACUAUAAUUAUUUGGCGAAUCUCUUGGGAUUUCAUCCAUCAUCUAGCUAAUCUCAGAUAUAGAAGAGUUUCUGCAAGUGACAGAUGUCCUCGUUGCCGUUAUUGAGUUGAAGAUAGUCCUCAUAUUUUUCGUCAAUGCCCUGUAUCAACAGAAGUGUGGCAUUUUUUACAUCUAUCUUGGGUUAUAAACAAUAUGAAUCAAACUAUAUGGGAGUGGCUUACCUGGGUUUUCAAGAGAGGAACUGCGGAACAAUGUCGCCUUUUCUGUAUUACUUUAUGGCUAAUCUGGUUUUCCAGAAAUCAGCUCAUUCACGAGAGGAAGGAAACAUGUAGAGAACUUGCUCAUCAAAUAUAGGGGUAUAUGGCAGAAAAUGAAGGGGUAAGAGAAACUCCAAAUCCUUUUAAUACAAACAAGAAUCACAAAGGUCAGGAGGACAUACCGAGAAUAACGAUCCAGUUUGAUGCAGCGUUCGACAUUCGAAACUUCAAAUUAGCAACAUGCUUGGUGGUUUAGGGCCUGACGGGCGAGCUCCUGGUCUUAAAAUCGACCCUUCACAAUAAUGUUUCUUCCCCGUUCGCAGCAGAAGCGUUUGCAUGUUUGGAAGGCAUAAAGUUAGGGAUAUCAAUGGGUAUACAAUCGGUUAAAAUCAUGGGGGAUUCUAGAACAAUAAUUAAAAAAUGUCAAACAUCUUCAAUAGAUAAAUCAGAGAUUCGAGCGAUCAUAAAAGACAUUCAGAACAAGAAAUUUUAUUUUCAAGAGAUUACCUUUCAGCAUAUUCAUAGAUCAGGGAACUCGCAAGCACACAGAUUCGCAAAGAAUACUCUAGAUAGAGGAGAGAUCUCUUACCUAGUGGGAGAGGAGUUGAAUCGGCAUCCUUCCGACUUGGAGGGAAGAUGGUCAAGAAGACCAGAUAGAAGAAGGAGAUGAGGAAUCUGAUUUCAAAAGUGAUAGCAAAUAAAAGCUUUAUUCUUGAUAAUAGCUAUUGUCAGAACGGAUGGGUGCUUUGAAAUGACAAAUCAAUGAAUGGUAAUGGAGGCCAGCCGUUUGAAUGGACUGGGUAGAUAUUUAGUUUCCUGUUUUCCGUCAGAAUCAUUUAAUGCUUUUUGUUUCCUUUAAGUUAUGUUUAUUUUACAGUUUUUUAGGAGAGCCCCAUUAAUAUACAAGUUAAUGUGGCCAGAUUUGAAUUUAGUUCUGAUGUAAUAGUACUGGGCCAUGGGUCUUUAUUGGGUCUUUUUGUUAUUUUUUCUCUUCUUUUCUAAUAAUAUACUCGGUCUAUUGAUUUCAAAAAAAAAAAAUACAUUGACUAUAUUCAUAAAUGAACUAAAAGUGACUAAAUUAUAGCAUAUGGACUGGAUCCAUACUAGAAUUUGACUUUUUUAUAUAAAGUUAUUGAUAGUUCAAAAUAACAUAUUUGAGGUUACGUUACAUGUGAAAAAUAGGGUAGGGUAAAGGUAAGCACAUUGUUAGACCAUAAUAUAAAUAAGGACAAAAUAAGCUAGUUAUCAAACGCUAUCAACUCUGGUUGGUAGAAUGUGGAAUCAUUUCUUACACCAACAGCCAAUAAAAAACUGAGUUUGGAGGCCAAACAUACGAUCAUAUAUUUUUAACUGACUUAGUGAUCGAAUCGGAAAGUGAUGAUAGUGGCAAUUCUUGCAAAUUUAGCCAUCAAAAUAUGGGCAACCACAUUAGAUACAAAUAGAAGAAAACAAGUAGGAAGUUGAAAGACAACCAAAACCUAUAUCUACAUGUCCAUGGAGUUAAGGGUUAAAAGAGUUUAUUGGUGAUUGGGCAAUGUCCAUUUACUUAUUUUUCUUGUACCAAAUGAUUCUCUUUAAAAGUGACGUGUUCAACCACCUUAAUUUCUUAUGCUUGAUUUUGGAGCAUGUAUUUGACUAGUACAAAGACAUACACUCUUGCUGCCCAAAUGGAAGGCGGUAAAGAAGGGUACAACAACAAGAACAAAACAUGAUUAUGAGGUAAGUGGACAUCAGAACUCCCACUAACAAAAAUUAGCUAAUCAAUUAGAUGAUGAUGUGAUUAAUCAUUAAGCCAUGAUUAUGUGGCUUAUUUAAUUUGAUUAAAAACCCCUCAUUCCAUGCUAAAACAUUUUGUGGGAAACGAUGUAUGAGGAUAAGACACAUUCCAAACUAAGACCACACCAUCCCCCUUGAAGUUGAAAAUCUUCUCAUCUACUUUUGGCUUUUCUCAAAAUUUCCUCCUCUCUUUGUCCUAAUGCUAGAAGAAGCCCCUCCCCCCUCUAGUAUAUAUGCCCUUUGAGUUUUGAAAAGCAAAAAAAAAUAAAAAAUGUUGAUUUGGAGUAUUAAAUCUAAUAAUUUUUACUAUUAUAUGGCAUAAAUAAACAUGAGAAAAACUUUUUCAAUUAAAUUAAUUUUGUAGGUGCCUUCAUUUUAAAGAUAGUAAAAUUUUCAAUUAAUACAAUAGUAAAAAUUGCAUGUUAGUUUGUUCAAAAAUUUAUAAUUCAAUUAUGAUCUCUUUCGAAAAUAAUAAAUUUAUAGUUUAAUUUCUUUAAAAAUUAUAAAAUUUUAAGUUAAUACAAUAAUAAAAUUACAUUUUAAUCCUUUCAUAAAUUUAUAAUUUACUUUUGACUCUUUAGAAAAAAAAUUAUAAUAUUGUCCUUGCUUGACAUGUUGAUGAGGUUGCUCUACUGAGUUUAUAAAGAUAAAUUGACAACCUUAUGACUAAAAAUACUUAUAAAAUUAAUGAUUGAAUUAAAAUUAUUAAAUCAAAAAAAGAUGUUUAAAAUACAUAAAUGAAAACUCGGAAAAAAUUAAUUAAAACAUCAUACAAAAUGCAAAGCAACAUAAUAAAAAUCGAGGAUAGAUAAAAUUGAAUGUUUUUGAAAAAAUAAAAAAACACAUGUAAAGGCCUCCCUUGCCAUUCCCACUACACCACUCACUAAGCAACAAGGAAGGGUGUUGUUUUGCUUUGGUAGGACAUGUUUGGCUUUGUACUGUGUUUGAGCAUAAUAACAAGUUUUGGCCUGCUCCACUUCACAUUGCGACAACACACACAGAGGGCUCUAUCUCAAUGCCUUGUAUAUGUAUUUCAAGAAAUUCCAUAUUCUUCUGAACCCUCCAAAAGACAAACAAAACAAUGAGGAUUGAGGACAAAACCAACAUCAUGUUUUGUUGCCCAAUGCAAAGCUGCCUUACAAAAACCCCUUCAAGCCAACUACUUUAAUUCCAAUUCACUCAAUUUCCAACAAAAACCUUAGACCACCACACCAACUAUUACUAACCCCGCCUUUUUUACUCUUCUCAAAACUUUCCAAGGGUCUUCCAGGAUUUUGAUGAAUUUCAAAGCCCAUUUGGGGAUUCUAUAUUUCUCUGUUUGAUCAGCCCUUUUUUCCUGAGGAGAAUUUGAUCUACUUUUACUGGUAAUUCCCUUGUCUGUGUUUCUUUAUUUUGCUGCUUAAAUUUUCUUUGAUCAUGGAUUUUCCUCUGUUUCUCAGUUUGUUUCAGGAGGGCCUGAGAUAUGAUUCCAGAGGGACCAUCCCCAGUGACUUCAUCACCACUUCAGUUCUUCCCCUGGAUGUCACCCUCUCCUGGUAUAGGAUCCCCUUUCCCAUGGCUAUGGGAGCUCAAACCUGAGGAGAGGGGUUUAUGGUUGAUUCGUCUUCUUGUUGCAUGUGCAAACCAUGUAGCUGCUGGUAGUCUUGAGAAUGCCAAUAUUGGCUUAGAGCAAAUAUCCCAACUUGCUUCUCCCGAUGGAGAUACCAUGCAAAGAAUUGCUGCUUACUUCACUGAGGCACUUGCUAAUAGAAUGCUUAAAGCAUGGCCUGGCCUUCACAAAGCCCUCAAUUCCACGAAAAUAUCAUCGGUACCCGAUGAAAUUCUUGUUCAAAAACUGUUCUUUGAGCUGUGCCCUUUCUUAAAACUUGCAUAUAUUAUCACAAACCAGGCCAUUGUAGAAGCUAUGGAGGGAGAGAAGAUGGUUCAUAUUAUAGAUCUAAAUUCCUGUGAGCCUGCUCAAUGGAUCAAUCUUUUUCAGACAUUUAGUGCAAGGCCAGAAGGGCCACCGCAUCUGAGAAUUACAGGCAUCCAUGAGCAGAAAGAGGUGUUAGAGCAAAUGGCACUUAGGUUGACAGAAGAAGCUGAAAAAUUGGACAUUCCAUUUCAGUUUAACCCAAUAGUUUGCAAGUUAGAGAAUCUUGAUUUAGAAAGUUUGCGUGUCAAGACCGGUGAAGCUCUUGCGGUCAGUUCGGUCCUUCAGCUUCAUUCUCUCCUGGCAACAGAUGAUGAGGUGCCUAGAAGGAACUUUAACUCCCCACCGGUGUCUAAGACCCGAGUUUUGCAGAUGACUCAACGUACUUUUGGAGAGUGGCUUGAGAAAGAACCAGCCCAUAUAUACAACCCAAGUUCUGACAUAGCAUCUUCUCCAUCAUCCCUAGCUCCAGCUCCAAAAAUGGGGAGCUUUCUAGCCGCUCUUCGGGCCUUGUCACCGAAAGUAAUGGUUGUAACCGAGCAGGAGUCCAACCAUAAUGGUCCUACUUUAAUGGAGAGGGUAAUAGAAGCAUUGAAUUUCUAUGCUGCGCUCUUUGACUGCUUAGAGUCUACGGUAUCAAGAGCACCAAUAGAGCGACAAAAGGUUGAGAAGAUGCUUUUCGGAGAGGAAAUUAAGAAUAUUAUAGCAUGUGAGGGUGGUGAGAGAAAGGAGAGACAUGAAAAGCUGGAGAAAUGGAUCCUGAGACUUGAAUUGGCCGGGUUUGGAAGGGUGCCAUUAAGCUACCAUGGCAUGUUGCAGGCAGGAAGGUUGCUGCAGACCAAUAACUACGAUGGUUAUAAGAUGAAAGAAGAGAAUGGGUGUUUGGUUAUGUGCUGGCAAGAAAGACCUCUAUAUUCAAUAUCAGCCUGGGGGUUUAGACGCUAGGAUUAUGACUCAUUUUAUUUAUGCCUGCCCUUUAUCCUGCUCCUAGGUGUCUCUUUCUUUCUUCCUUUGAUUGUAGUUUAAUAUGUAUGUAUAUGAAAGACUUUUUCAUUCUAUAGUUACUUGAGAAAAAAAUUUAAACAUGUAUCUCAUUCAUUUCUUUGGGCUGCUGUUGAGAGUUUUGAGUUGCAAAGGAAGCCAUUAAUGAGUACAUGAUGGCAGCUUGAGAAAAAUAAAACAGCACAUCUAGGGCUCUAAAGUCCUAUUAGGAUCAUUCAAUCAACAUGCACAUGCUGCAUUAAGGGAAUUGACCAAAUCACAAAGCUUGUUUUCAAAGGCAUUAAGGGGACGUAGCAUGUAUGAUCCUCAAUUAUUGAUCAUCAUCAGUUCAUUUCAUUUGAUUAUGACAUUAUUAUUUUACCCUUUUAUGCGCAUUUUCAAUCAGUAGCCAUCUUAUUUUUUUUCAAGAAACAAUCUACAUAUGAUAACAUCUUAGAAAGCUCUACUGUAUUUCUCUUCAUUUCGCCUUUAGCACCUACGUUUGUCUAUGCGUUAGGAUGGAAUUUGGAUUAUAUUAUGACAAGGUAGGUAUAGAUUUAGUUUGGUUCAAAUUAUUAUUUUAUUAAUAUUUAGAACUAUAAAAAAAAAGUAAACUACUAAAAUAAUCACUUUUGUUUACCUUAAAUUACAUUUUAGUCACUUAUAUUUGAAGUGUUACGUUUUAGUCACUUAUGUUAUUGCAUUGUAACAUUUUAGUCACUGAGCCGUUAACAGUGUAACUGCAAGCUGACGUGGCACGUUAAAUUAUUAUUUCAAACAAAAAUUUUAGAUUAAUUUAUACAAUUAGUCCCCAUAUUUUUUCGUUUUGAGCAAUUUAGUUUUUUUCUUUGAUUUUUUUUAACGUUCCUUUUUUUUUCUUUUUUUUUCCAUUCUCUUCUGCUUCUCCCUCUGUUUUCUCCCAUUUUUCAUUUCUUUUAAUGUAGUUUUCUUUAUAUUUUCUAUUCGUUAACAUUAGUCCCUAUACUUUUAUUUUUUUAAACAAUUUAACUUUUUUCAAGUGAGACAAGCUUGUGGACUAGUUUUAACAAAUAAAAAAUAUAGAAAAGCUACGUUAAAAGAAAUGAAAAAGGGAGGAAAAUAGAGAGAGAAAAAAAAGAAAAUGAAAAAAAAGAAAGUUAAAAGAAAUAAAAGAAAAAAAACUAAAUUGCUCAAAAUGAGAAAAUAUAGGGAUCAAUUAUAGAAUUUAACCCAAAAUUUUCGUUAAAAAUGAUGAUUUAAUGUGCUAUAUCAACUUACCUGUUAACGGCUCGGUGACUAAAAUGUUACAAUAUAAUAAUGUAAGUGACUAGAACAUAACAUUUCAAACAUAAAUGACUAAAAUGUAAUCUGAGACAAAUAAAAGUGACUAUUUUGAUAGUUUACUUAAAAAAAAUACUUUUUUAACAAUUUCAAAUAAAAAGUAUAAAUUUUAAAAGUAGUUAAUAGGCCUGAUAAGCUAUGGUCUAAAUGGUUUGUCUAAUACUCUAAUUUAAGGUCCAGAAAAGCCCAAAUAUCAGAAUUAAGAAAAAAGAGAGAAAAAUAAAAAAAGGAGAGUCGGAAAGAAAAUCUGAAAUUUCUUGCCAAAUAAUCUCUCUCUCUACUCGGUAGUCUUUAUUCCUUUAACUGCGUUCAUUUUUUCGAGCUCAUAAAGGAAGUCAAACAAGGCGGUGGCUGAUUUAUAGGUAAGCUUCGAAAAUCAUUAUUUUGAGUUGCUGUAUUCUUAUUUUAGUUUGUUUUCCAAGUUUUUUUCCUUUAAAAUUUUUUGUUAGAAUUUGAAGAUUCUUGUGAGACUCUGUUUAAUUUUAAUUUUGGAUUAGCAAAGACAAAGCCUGCCUCUGUUUUUACUUUUAGCUUUUAUUUUUUUGGAUUCAAGUAAAAAAUGUUGAACCGAAUCCAUUUGUCGGAAGGUGUUUGAUGCAAUGCCAAAGUAAUUUCUUUUAUUGCUUUUACAGUGAAAUGGAUGAUAAAUUUGCUCAAGAGCUGUAUUCAGAAAGUUUGCAGCUAUCCAAGUUACAAUUAGGCCGUUCUUCGAGUACCAAUGGUAAUUAGUUAAUGCUACCAAUUCCAUGGGUACCCAAAAGUUGUGCAUUAUUUAGUAGUGCUGUUAUUUUAUAUGAUUUCAGGUUUCAAUAAGUCGGACAUCCAGGAUGAAGAUGGAUCUUUAUGGGGUGGUUCUGAUGAGGAAUUAGAUAAAACAUCUGAUUUAGACCGUGAAUGGAAGAGAAGGCAUGACCAAUUCCACACGGUACUGACAAUUCAGAAUUUUCUUUUCCACUAUUUGUUUAGUAAUUGAUGUCAGUUCUAUAUUGAGAAUUUCUAGAUUGGUUAUCGUGAUGGGCUGAUAGCAGGGAAAGAAGCCUCUGCACAAGAAGGUUUAAUAUUGGCUUUAAGCAAUCAAUUCCCAUAGGGUACAACUGGGGCAUAGCAAGAGGUGUUACCAGGUACAAUGAAGAAGCGGAUAAAAUUUGUCAUUCUUUUUUUAUGUCUAGAAUCUAGAUUUCUUAUACAUUUUCUGCAUGACAUUACUCUGAAUCUUAUUUCAAAUUGUGUUCUUUUUCUUGUGUAUAUGUGUAUCUUUGCCUUUAAAAGCGCAUUGGCUUGUCUUCCGGAUGGGUUGAGGGAGAGAUUGACUGAAACACAAGAGAACAGAGAUAAAUUCCAGGAGUUAUAUGAAUCUGUGAAUUUGCUUUCAGCUACAGAUGCACUUAAGUUGUUCCAUGAUGAUAUUUUGACAAAGAAAGCUGUGGAACAGAGCGGGUCUACUGAGGCUAGUGUUAGUGUAGGUGGUGCACAAGAACAUAUCUCAAAUUCUUCUAGUUUGGGAACUUAUAGUACAAAGCUCCAAUCACUGCUUCUUGAAUCUCCUGAAAUCAAAGUACAAUUCUUCCAUCAAGAGGCUUCAACUCCUGAUCGUUGUUGAAACUGAAUGUGAAUUCUUGUUUUCAUCCAUGAAGCUCAGAACUAGAAUAAGCGUUUGAAUAUUUGGAUAAAAAGUGCUUAGCUCUUGUUUGUAUGUGAACAUGAAUAUGAGGUUGACUAUUUAUGGCACAUGUAGUUUCUAAUAGACCUGUACAAAUAUAAACGUUUUCUUUUAUGUAAUGACCAAAGACCCAAAAUUUCUAAUGAACAAUCGGUUUUCGAACUUCUGUUUUCUGUGCAUUCUAUGUGGGCCUGUCUUAUGUAUUAACAUAUGGUGCUUGACACUUGCAAGUUGUAUAAAACAUUUUUACAAUGCUAUGCUGCAUUUGGAUCUAUCAUAACCAGUAUGUUUGCUUUUUAUCAUUAUCAGUAUUUUACCUCAGUUUUUACUGCCCUUCUCUUAAUCUGUUGAUUAUCCUGGACUUAAGGAGAAUGAUAUAGUUGACAAUGAUUAUAUUGUGGAAUCCUCCAUGUUGCAUAUUAAUGUUUAAUUAUUUUGUUAAAACUAAAUAUCCAUGUUCCUACUCUUGCAUGUGAAUCCUAAGAAUAGUUAAAUUCUUGUAUGGCAAUUGUAACUUGACAUGUUCAGAAACAGUACAUGAAAAGCAUUUGAUGAUUUUUGGUAUUUCUGGUGAUCAUAGUAGUACAUAACAUUAGAAGUAGACAUAAUAGACCUCCAAAUGAUAGAUAUUAUCCAGUUGAAAGUACACAAAUUCUAGUAGUUGAACUAGGCACUCAAAUUCUAGUAGUUGAACUAGGCACUCUCCACUCGACACAUAACUUAGGAGAAACUGCCUCCUUUCCUUCAAUUAACAAUAACAAGGAAUGGACUUGGAAUAAUGAGUUACUUAAUUACCUCUAUAAAAUUAUCAAUUACAAGCUUGAAUGGACUGUCCAUGGCCAAAGCCUGUUGAAGUUUGCCUCAAAUGAGUUUCACAUUUAGUUCUUGGCUGGACUGUUUCAAAGGCUUCAACAAGUAAUGCCACCUUUCGUUUUCUAGCUGGAGCAAGUUUGGUGACAACUUGUUGGAGUGCAUGAUCGAGCAUCCAUUCCUCUGCAUUUUUCCUUUGAUCCAUUGGUUGAUGCCUGAGAUCAACGUUUUCUGCAUCUGGCUCUGGAACAACAGGCAAGAAGUUUGGUUCUCGUGGGUUGAAUUUCUUUUUCUCCUCAGUUAUCUUCAUGUCUUUUGCACCCAAUUUUCCAUUUUCUGUCGUUAUGGUUUUCAGGCACUUCUUCCUUAGCAUUGCUUCUAGUGAAGGAGAACUUGUUUCUUGGCUUGGGGCUGGUUUUAGUUUUAUCAUUUGCUGCAGGGUAUGUUUCUGCCACAUCCAAUCCAGCAGUAGCACUAUCCUUGAAUUCCAUUUUCCCAACUUCACUGCCAUCAGCUAAACGAGUUUUAUGCAUCCUUGAACCAUUAUGCUCCUCUGGAUCCAUGGAAGUAGGAACUUUUAACUUAGCUUCUUCUUGAUCUUCCUCUAGGGCACUCUGAUUGUCUAUAACAUGUACAUUCUUAUGUUGGCUCUCUGACAGAUGAUCUUGACUCUGGGAAAAAAGGCUUUCUAGAGCAGUAUCUCGAGUUGAAAACCUUUCAUUGUCUUCUACCUCAAAGUCAUCAUCUGCCCUUGGUAGAACAUGAGAUAAACCAAGGAAUCCAAUCAAUAAUUCGGAAUAAGCUACUUUCUCUGCUUCCGUUUUGUCUCCCGUUUCACCACUUGGAAGUUUAUUUUCUGGACAGAAAUCACCGCUGGUGUCAAUCUGAUCUCCUUCCGUAUCCCCCGGCUUCCAGACUAUGUUGUAAUCUUCAUUUGUUUCAUCUUGCUUCAACUUAUUAAAUGAGUGGAGCUGAAAUUGCUUGGUUGAUUCAAAAGCUUCUUCAUUCAAAUCAAUAGUGCUGCUUUUUUCAGGAACUUCUAGUGCUUCAGAAACAUCAUUAACUGUUCCAGGAACUCCAUUAUCCAGCAUUUUCUCCUUGCCUGGUGUUGGUUCCUCAUGUAACUUCUUUCUUGAAGAAGCUGUUGUAAAGAUGCCUAUCAAAUCUGUUUCAGUGUAUUCUUCUUCCAUGGCCGAUACCUCCAACAUGUCUUCAGUGGAGGAAACUUGGUUGUAGCUCAAGGUUUCUUCAAAGGCUUGUUCUGCUCUAUCAGCCGAAACCUCCUUUGCAGUGUUGCUGUUACUUUCAUCUGAAUUGAUCAGAAUUUCAUCACACAGAUUAUCCCUAUGACUUUCUGACGAAUCCCCAGUAUCCAAAUCAGAUUCCAUUGAAGAAUGGGCUUCAUAAUCAGGCUCUGAAGCAGAAAAUUGCCACUUUUCCCACUCCAAAUCAAUAACUUCAAACAUAGCAUGGUCCACGUCAACCCUUGAAGCGCUUUCGUGCUUAUCACCUUUUAAGUUCAAGGGUGAUGAUUCUUCUUUAAUCAGAACUCCUCUAGAUUCUUCAUCUGCGUCUCUUUGUUUCAGCUUUUCACUGAUAUCAUCAAUUUUGGAAAUAAUGUCACCACAAUGUUCAAUAUUUUCAUCAAAGUCAACCUCAAAGUCUGGUGAUCCUUCAGAUGAACUCUCUGAAAUUAGCUCUACCCCUGUUUCAUUGUCAUAUCCAGAAUUAUCCUUUCCCUUGGCCUUCAUUUGUGUGCUUCCAUAGGUUGCUUCAGCGUUAUUUCCUUUGUUUUUUGCAUAGAUUUCAAUGAAGAAAUCCAUGGCUCCCCCUUGCAUCAAAUGAAAAGGGGAGAUAUCCAAAUCCACUCCAUUGCUGGUGGGCCUGUCAGCAAAAACCACAGGCUCUUCGUCACCCCCCUCCGUUCCAUCACCAGAAGGCUUUACUCUACGAGGGCUCAAAGCUUCCAUCUUCAUGCUUCUCUGGGUUUUCAUAGAACGUCUCCUUGCUUUUAAGAAACAUUUCAAUGGAGGCAAAGGAGUAUGGUGAUGACCAUUAAGGGAACAGUAAGUAUAUGAGCAGACCUUGAUAAUAGAAGUUCCCUCAGACUCAGUCCCAUGAUUCAGCAUGAGAUAUGAGGGAAACUUUGAAUCCUUUAAAGUUGAAGAACAGGUAGCCCUCUGUACAUUCAUAUCUGCACAUAGAGCGACCCUGGAACAUUUUUUGGCGGAAGCUCUAGCCGGCUUGAAAGUAGGAGAUUUUGUCAAAGUCCUCACUAGCUUCAAAUUAGAUGUCCUUGUUAGAGUUCUAGCACCAGCAGCCUUAUUACAAGAAUCAGAGCUGAUAGAACCGGUUGAACAUCUUCUAUUUAGAUUCUUGCUGUCUGAACCGGCUAGAGAACUUACCGGAGAACUCUCCUUUUUGGCCUUGGAACUGCUGGUAGACUUCAUGUAGUUUGGUGAUCCAUCGACAGCUUUGAUCACAGAUUUAUUUUGUGAAGUUGCAGCUGGAAGAACAUUGAGAGGUGGUAGUUUUCCAGGUUGUGCAAUGGUUUUCCUCAAAGGUGAUGAUGAUCUUAGACUGCCUUCUGAGAGCUUAAUUGACCUUGAUUUUUUCAUUUUUUUCUUCAAGUCAGUUGCUUGGUGCUGACAAUAUGAUGGUUUGAGGCUUCCCAACAGCCUUUCUGAUUUAAGGAGAUCACCUUGGAUUCCAUUACCAAGUUUGUUGGGCACCUUUCUUUGAACCAUCCUCGAAGGAAAACUUAGAGCAUGGAUAAGAGAUCAGAACUAAGGUGGGAUUAUAUUUUGCUUUCCAUGGAUGGAUAUUAGAGAGUUGAGCUGUGGAAGAAAAGUAGUCUUGUUGAGCUUUGUUUUCUUGGGGUUGAAAAAUGACAUCAAAAGGGAAAAAAAGAAAAGAAAUUUUAGACGAUCAAACAAUAUAAGAUUCCUUUUUGAUUUGGUUUGGUUUUCAGUGGGCGGCCUUUUGCUUAAAUUGAACUGUGAUUUGGCCGAUGAAAACAAGUGUAAGGGGCUGAUUUGCACUAACAUAUGUAUUAUCCUUUGUAUUCAUUCGUUUUAAGAUGGUUCUUCCUUGAUGCAUAAUUGAGAUGCCACGUAAUUUCCACAUCAUAAUUGAGGGCAAUUUGAAUUGGAAAUAAACAUUUAGCAGAUUUAAAUAAAUAUAUUUUAUACCAUAGGAUUUCAGUUCAAAGUAAUUUAGCCGUUAGUUUCCACUGCAUGAUAUAUAAUGCCAAAUCACCAUCCAUUUGUUGCAAGGAAACGUUACGUCAAUCAAUAUAAUAAUUUAUUAAAUGAAGGGGAAAAAAACCCUAAAGCCAAAAAGAAGAAGAAGAAGGAAAUUGAAAUAAUAAAGGCAAUUAGGGUUUUAGAUGGGGAGGCAGGCAAAAAAGGAGUUUGGGGAAGACAAAGGCAAUAGUGGGUAAAAAGGGUAGUGAUUGUGGGGGGGUCAACUUAAGAGCCUCUGGUUCAACUUCACGGUCAUAGACGCUCCUCUCUCGAAAUUUGAGGAAAUAUAAAAAUAAAAGGGUCUCAUAAUAAUCCUUUGUAUUCCCACCUCCCCCCACGGCCCAUGCCUGCCUAUUUCAAUUUGCCAAAUCCAUUCCAAGUUUCUUAAUACAAUAUCACUCACCCUUUCACAUUUAUCAUCUUUUUUUUUUCUUUUUAAUGAAAAUUAUUGUUUACUAAAUUUAUAAAAAUUGAUAAAAUAAUAAAUAUGAUUUUAUUUGAAAUGAUAAAAUUGAUAAGGUUUAUAAUGUAUUGAGUUUGAUGUCUAUCAUGUGCAUGUAUUUUUUAAAUUUUAUAUAAAAACAUAAAAAUAAAAAAUAAAAAAUAAAACUACCUUCAAAAUAAUAUUUAUUUCUUUAUAAAAAUAAAAAAGUUUUUUUUAGUAAAUUUAUAAUUGAGUUAACCUCGGUUAAGAGUCAUACCAAUUUAAUCAAAAUUUUAAAUAUUAAUAUAGAUAUUUAACAAUCAUAUCUAUAUUUAUCUAUAUUAUGUAAUUUAUUUGAUUGAAUUAGCACCAUUAAUCGGAUUUCAAUUCAAUUGUAAAAUUAUCAAAAAAUCAUAUUUAAAUUCAUAGGUUUUAUUAUUUAAUUUUUACUAUUUUAAUAAACUCAUAUUUAAUUGUUCAUUUUUUUUAUAAUUUUAUUCCAUAAAAUUUUGGCAACCGUGAUUGUGGUAUAAUCUAAUUUUAUGUGGAAAGAAUUAUUCUUUGUUGGUCCCCAUAAGAACAAAUAAAUAGCAGCAUCAGUCCGAAGAAAAUUUAAUGGCAUAGAUUUUGAGCAAACAUCCCUUGCAGGGUUUAAGGCCAGAAAAUGGGACUGAAUCUGUCAGCGCAGCUUCUUCAAGCAUUGCAUAAUGAUUGAGCAUCAUAAAUGGAUACAAUACUACCAAGUUAGUAUAUUAUGACUUCACUUGACCCCAUUAACAACAACAACACUUCCUGCAAAAACUCUCAUGUUUUCUUGUUCGCUAAAUUAUCCUCUUUUUUUUUUUUUUUUUCAAAUUCUAUGUUCAGCAGCACUAGUAACCAAACUGUCUUAUAGUUUUAUAUGAAAAUGAAAAUAUAUAAUGAAAUUUAUAACAAUUAUAUUAUAUAAGUUGUUAGGGUAGAUAAAGAUGGUGGUUGGUAUUAUAUAUGGUGCAAAGAGUCCAUAACGAUAGUAGUUUUAGAGUGUAAGAGAUAAUAUUUGAGCAAUGUGUGGGUUAUAUAGUUGAUAUCAUAUAUAUGACUUUUACUUUUGUUGGAUAUAUACUACUAUCAAACGAAAUAAUUAGCACUGACAGGAUAAAUAAACUGAGUGUAAAUAAAUAAAAUAAUCAUUGUGCCAUGAACGAACCACUUUUUAGAAGUAGAUCUAUCUUAAUUGGUAUAAUUGUUUAGUAGACGUCGCAUUCCAAGGUUAACACAGUACUUCAAUAUUCGUAUACCCGAAAAGAAGGUGAAACACAAAUGACAUUGCUCUUCUUAGGAGGAAUUGAAAAACAAAGCAAAAAAUAUAAAAAAGAAGAAUGAUCUACUAUUUAUACUAUUUUUUGAAGGGACAAAAUGAUAAAAUAGCAGUGCCAGUUUUCAAAAAUAGUAAAGGAUUUUCCCCAACUGAAAAUAUUUUGCAAUAGCUAGAACAUUUUCUUCAACUAAAACAAUAUUUUGAAAGCAAAAAAAUAUUUCUGAUAAAAGGAACAAAAAAUUUAUUAAAAAAAGAAGCACAAGCGAUAACGUUGACACAAACACAGUGUAGCAACCCGUUUUUCAGUGGUGUCAGAAACAGAGGUUUUGGGACCACAAAUUCAAUGCGUAAAUCCGUAAUAAUUAGCAUUUAAAUUAUAUGGGUUAAAAUAUAAUUUUAUAUUGAAUUUUUAUUUGAAGAAUUUUAGCUAAUUGAAAUAAAUGGUUAAUAUAAGUUGUUGUCCCAAAAGUCAAGUGAUUUAAAAAAAUGAGGCAUCGGGACCUCGUUUCUGAAAACCGAGCUAGUAAAUAUUGUUAUUAAAUACUUAUUGAACCAUUGUAUAGGUAAGUGAAGGUUCGAUUCGGUUCGAAAAUUUUAUUGUUUAAAUAGUUAAUUUAUGAAAAAGGAUUGAAUUGUAAAAUAUAUAAAAUUUCAUCAUUAUUGAUUUUUAUUGACUUAAGGGUAUAAUUAAGAUAUGUUUAAGUAUUUAAAAGUGAAUAGACCAUUUUUUUGUUAGUGGGACAGUUAGUACACAUUUUAUUAGAUUUUUAUUUAUUAAAUUAAACGUUUAAAAUAAUUAAAACAAAUGAAAACAUAAAAUAUACAUUAUGGUCAUUUUCCUUAUAUUUUCCACCACCGAAAAUUGAAGAUAGAAAACACCAUGGGAGAACCUUGAAGUUUCGGCCUUGUAAAUUUCCUUGCAUAUCAAUAAUUAAAUUGUACGGAGAUUAAUCGGGGAAAAGAGGAAAUUGUUGAUUAGUCCGUUCGAGUCAAUCGAAAACAUAAUCUAAGUAAAUUCAUAGUGUAAUGAAAUGUAUAUGUGUUUUUCUUUAUAAUUAUAUUAUUUUCCACUAGUUGAUUGUAUAAAUGUGAAAUUUCAUUAGUUAUAUAUAUAUUAUUACAUGUUUUGAUUAAGUACAAAUGGAAAAUGAAUAUUUAGUGAUGGUAAUUCUUGUCAUUUGCAAAUUAUUGAAAUGAAUGUAACAAAUCUAUAAAAUGUGUACGGAAAUAAGAAGAGCCUGUAAGUGAUUGAUCUAUUGAUAUCAUGAGUUUAAGGAUAAUGCCCGGUUGAAUAUAGUAAACGGUUAGGAUGCGAUUGAAAUGCCAAUAGAGUUAGUACGCGCGCUUAUAUGGGAUUGCACUUUGGUGCCUUUGAUUGCAUAUUUUGUACCUCUUUUUGCACUUUGUUGCCUCUGUUACGCAUCUAUGAUGCCUUUAGUGUGGUGUAGUUACUUGAAUAUCUGAGUCAAGUUACUAUAGUUCAUCGGGCUAUGUGCUAAUUGAUCUAUAACUUAAUUACUUGCUAAAUUCUAUUGCAUAUUUAUGGUGUUACCAAAUGAUAAAUGUUACAAUGAAAUUCUUGUUUAUAAAUGUUGUUGGUUAUAUUGAGAAACUAUGGUUGAUGGAGUUGGUUAAGCCUUUUUGGAAGGUGUCAUUUAAGUAUAUAUUUAUAUAAGUAAGAAUUUUUGGCUUGAAACUAUUGUGGUACAUGAAUUAUUCUGUUGAAUGCUUUGAUACUAAUGUUAAGUGACAUUUGUAAUAAUUGUCAGGGUAUGGUUAUGAAAGCUCUUUUAAUAUUAAUUUAUAAGUUAUGGUGAGAUAAUAUUGAAAUUCAUGAAUCAUAUGGAGAUGUUAAGUGAUGAAAUUGAAUAUUUGAUGAUUAUGUAUUUAAAAUUUGUUUAUAAUAAUAUUGAAAUGACAGGAAAGUUUAUAGUUAUAAGUAUGAAACACACGCUUUGUAAAUAAGAUAUUACUGUCACAAUUAUGUGUUUAAAAGAAAUGAAAUAUGUAUGUGAAUUGACAUGGUCAAAUGGAUGAUACGUUUUACAUGUUGAAUCUUUCUUAUUGAAUGAUACAAAAUUAUGUCAUAUUAAAUGAUUAAGAUAUUAUACGAUUGAUAUGUGAAACACUCACUUAAUUUUUUUAAAUGUUUUGUCAAGAAAUCGUAUUAAAUUUAGUUAUAUUCGUUCACUUAAUUGUAAACCAAGGUAAGAGUUUUGUUUAAAUACCUAUAAACUUACUAAGCUUUAUAAGCUUACUCUUUCUCUUUUCCUGCUUUUUGUAGCUUAUUGUAUUGAAGAAUUGGUCGGUCAAAUCAACUUUAGAGCUCACACUAUCCAACCUUUUUUCGGUAGCUUUUGUCUUUAGCUAUUUCGGUUUGUGGCAUGUAUAUAAGAUUUGAAGUUGUUAAAGUUACCAUGUUCGUUGAAUUGUAAUUAAGUUUAUAUGGUUUUGGUUUGGUAAUCUAUGUUUGAUGUUGAUGAUAUUUUGAAUGUGGUUAUGUUUGGUACAUUUUUUAUUUGACAUUGUUUUGGUUUGGUUUCUCUUAUGAUGUUGAAAUAUGGUCAAUUUGGUAGGUAGUUAAUGAUAAUGGAUAAGUUUGAGGUGUCUUUGGCAUGUGAUUUGGUAAUUCAUGUUUUAAGUAAGUUUAAUUGAUGGUAAAUGAGUUACUUGUGAUCCAAGUAAGUUCAAUUUGGUAAACUUACAUUUGAAGGUUCAAUUAGGGGCAUAUGGCCUGGGACACGACUGUCGCAUGGCCAUGUGCUGGACACGGUCUCUUCACACGGUUGUGUGUUUCAAAAUAGUUUGUCACACGGUUUGUGACAUGGCCGUGUGACCCUAUUUCUAAUAUACACACGGUUUAGCACACGGCCUGUGACACGGUCGCGUAAGGGUAUUUCGAAUGUUUCAUAGGCUGUCACACAUUUGGCCACACAACCAUGUUACUAAGCCACAUGGCCUGAGCUUUGUCACACAGCCUUAUGACCCCUGUUUUCAAAUUUUUUUUUAUUUUGAUACAGAUUGAUCCUUGAUUGGUUCCAAAGUCAUUUUUAGGUUUCGUAUUGUAACACCCCUAACCUGUAUCCGCUAUCGGAAUAGGGUUAUGGAGCAUUAUUGAAGUUUACAUUUCAAAAUAAACAAAACUUUUAAACAUUUUAAUUCAUAUUAUAACACCGCUUAUUAAUUCAUAUUAUAACACCCCUUAGCCGUAUUCAACACCAAAACAAGGUACGGGGCAUUACCGGACUUAUAACGCAAGCGAACAUACAAAUUGAGUCAUAAAUUUGCAUCCAAAUUAAAACCAUUUAUAUUCAAUCAUAAAGUCCCUAAUUCGAGCCUACAAGGCUCAACACAUGCUUCGGAAGUGAUUCGGGACUAAACUGAGCACUAAGGAAAUUUUUACAAAACUUAGAAAAUUUUUGCCAUGUACAGGGGUCACACGCCCGUGUGGUUUGGGACAUGCCCGUGUGGUCACACAUGCCCGUGUCCCUAACCCGUGUAACUCUCUGUUUUGUAAAACAUGAACCAAUUGAGGUCAUAAAGCCGAGACACAUGCCUGUGUGCUAGGCCGUGUGGUUAAUUUAAUUUUCAUAAAAUAGGUGCAGACUUUACAUGGUCGGGACACACGCCCGUGCUUGAGCUGUGUCCCACACACAGCUGAGACACACGCUCGUGUCUCUGCCCGUAUGCUCAAUUCUGAGCAUUUUGUUUCUCAAAAUUAAGGUGCAGGGUGUAACACCCCUUAACCGUGGCCGUCACCGGGGUCGAAUACGAGGUGUUAUCGGGCUUAAUUCAUCAUUUAUACAGCUCAAACAAUUUAUUUUAAAACUCCCAGACAAGCUGUCAAUCUGCAUUAUAGUCACUUAAAAAUUUGUAUCUUGAGUUCCGAAACUCAAAAUAAAAUUUCGUAAAAUUUUCCUGAAACUAGACUCAUAUAUAUAUCUAAUAAAAUUUUUGUAGAAUUUUUGGUUGGUCCAAUUAGUACAGUUUAUUUGUUAAAGUCGCCCCUGUUUCAGGGUUUGACUACUCUGACCUCUGAGCAUUACGACUUAGAUAUCUCCCUACACAGGGCUUCAAUGCCUAUGAAGCUUGUCUCUAAUGAAACUAGACACAAUAAUGAAUCUGAAAAUAUAAAGGAUGACUUCUAAUUAUCUCUAAAAAUUUUAUGGUGAAUUUCCAAAGUUAGAACAGGGGAUCCAGAAAUCGCUCUGGCCCUGUUUCACAAAAAAUUAAACAUCUCAUAAAAUAUAGCUCAUAUGGUCGUUUCGUUUCUUCCAUAUGAAAAUAGACUCAUCCAGCUUCGAUUACAUAAUUUAUUCAUUAUUUAAUUCCAUUUCUAAUAUUUUUAGUGAUUUUUCAAUUUCACAUCACUACUGCUGUGUGCAUCUAUUAUUAAAGUAAAUUUUACCUAUUAGAGUAAUUUAACAUACAUAUCACCAAGUAUGAUCAUGACUAGCCAUACCAAAGGCUAAUCAUUACCAAGCAUUUCCUUACUACUCAAUAACCAUAUCAUGAGUGUAACACCGGAAAUGAUUAGCCAUGACAAACGGCAUAAUAAUCAAAUAGACUUUAACUAUUACUUAUAACUAAGUAUCAUAAGACCAAAUCCAACUUGACAUUUAUGCCAUUUUCGCAUGGCUAAAAGUAUACAUACCAAAGUUCAAACAAAACAUAUUAGUCUAUACAUGCCGAAAUGUUCUCUUAGACCAACUAAGAAGAAGAUACCAAAAAGUUACAAGCUGGUGUGAUCGACGAUGGUCCCGAGCACACAAAAAUAGAUCAAAGGAACCUAAAUAAGUGACAAAUAAACACACCAAAUGAGUAUAUAACUCAGUAAGUCAUAAGCAUUACACUGCCGUCCAUUUAUAAAGUAUCAUAAAAGAAAACAAACAAUGCAAGAUUAGGUACUCCAUCCAUACCGACUAUGCUAUAAUUUCACGCACAUUUAUCAUUACAUGCUCUCAACUAGCCAAGCCUCCAUUGACAUCUCGUAUGAUAUUCGAUAUGAUAUUUGAUGCAUUUCCACACAUCAUUUUAUUUUCGUUUAGAUUAUACUAAUAAUAGCAUUUCAUCUAUUCCACAAUAAUCUUAUGUUCCUAACUUCAAAUAUAAUCACCACAUAGGUUCAAGACUUACCAAGCUCAGUUCCAAAUAUAAACAUAACGUCUAUUCCUCAUGAACUCAAAGUACCUACUCAUUCCGCUGUCCAUGAUCUACUCGAUAAAGUCACACACUUAACGUUAAUAAUUAUUCGAAAAUAUAUAGUAAGUCCGCACACUUAGUGCUUAAUAAUCAAACUCGCACACUUAGUGCUAUACAAUUAAACUCGCACACUUAGUGCCAAUCUCAUUAUCGUAAAUGUUUAUACCCGCACACUUAGUGCCGAAAUCAACAACUCAAUACAUCUCACUUCUUUUUACACUCGAUAAUUUUUUCACUACAUGCAUUUAUAUAUCAUUCCAUUCGGCAUAAGUACAUAGGUAUUAUGAUUAUUUAAAUCAAUACAAAAUAUAUGCUUAAUAACUUACCUUGUGUUGGGUAAAACGGUUCCAACUCGGCUACUCGAUGUUCUUUCCUUUGCCUUUGCUUGAUUCUCCUCCUUUAACUUCUUGAGCUUAAUCAAUAAAUUAACUAGUUUAACCGUCUUGCUAAAUAUUUAUAUCAAAAUAUUAAUGAUUUCAUAUCAUAGGAGAUACAUGACUAAUUCUUAUCUUCCUACCAUAUGUUUUUGAGCUAUUCGGCUAAUAACCAUAUGCUAUCACCCUACUAUCAAUAAUCCAAUCACACAUGCAUAUAUAUAUAUAUAUGAUAUCAACUAUACUAUCAUCUUUAAUUCAUCUAAACACAAAAUUCCAUCUCAUGAACACUUGACCGAAUUUUUCCUAAUCUAGCAUGGCUUCACAUCUAUUUGUAACAUCCUAUAAAUUCACAUAUACCACAUUUCUACAUAAAUUUUCUUUCACUUUUCCACUACUUCCAUUCACAACAUCAAAAGCACCAUACUCUUAGCAUUUACCUCUUCCUAACCAUAUGCCAUCUAAGUACCCCUUUAGGUAGAAAAUUAACAUAUGGGUUGUAAUAAGACAUUGGCUACUAACUAGAUUUUCACAAGAAUUUAGUAAAAGUAACAUAAAUCCUACCUUAAUCAACCCCUUUUGAGUUGGCCGAAUGUCUAGAGCAUUUCUUCCUUCCUUCUCCUAACUCACGGCAAUUGCAAAAAAAAGGAAAGAAGAUGAAUACUCCCUCUUCCUUCCUUAUUUUAUUCAUCUUUUCUUUUUAAUUCCUUUCUUUAAUUUAUUUUAAUUGUUAACUAAUAAAAGAAUUGCAUUGAAAUUCAACCUAGUGGAUGGGGCAUCAUGGCUUGGCCGGCCACUACUUGGGUUUUUGGGCAAUUUGACAUGCAAACCCAAGUUUCCUCACUUUGUUAUUAUUUGAUCCUUACAUAUUCCCCUAUCAUAUUUUCUUAAGUUCUCAACUAAGUCAAUCACAUGAAAUUCACAUUCAUAAGUCUAAAUUAAAACAUCAAAUUUUCACACAUGCACUAAUACACAUAGAGGAUAUGCAACCAAAUUUUAAAUAAAUUUUGGGACUCAGUCUUGUGGCCCCGAAACCACAUUCCGACUAGGGUUGAAUUAAGACUGUCACACAGGGGACACACGACCGAAACACAUGCCCAUGGGACAAGCCGUGUGUCACACACGGCCUAGACACAUGCCCGUGUGUCUACCCAUGUAGACAAAAUAAAGGCUAUUUACCAAGCCAUUUGUCACCCUUAUUUGUACAUACACAUCCACAAUCUUAAUGGCAUAAAUCAUGGCAUAUUUAGGCAACGAAAACGUCUACAAACAAGGCUAGAUCAUGUCAUUUCAUUAUCCACACUCAACAUAUUUACAACAUCAUAUUUGCCAAACCAAAUCAUACCAAACUUCUACAAGUUUCAAUAUGGCUACCAAUAACAUGCAUAAUUUUACUUAGUUUUCCUAGCAUACCAGUAAGCCAAUCUUAACAAUUCAACAACAAAAUCAUUAAGCCACAUUCAACCAUUUACCAAGCAUUUAUAAACCACAUCACACAAGGGAUAGUUGCACAUGCAUGCAUACAUAAAUAUAUAUAAGCUUACAACCAAUUCAACCAAAAUGAGCCAAGUUACAAGGCCAAAUACCACAUCAAGCCUUUGACAAUUACAAGCCAAUACAUUUGGCCAAACUCAUAAAGACACAUAUAACAAAAUGACUAAGUCCCUAUACAUGCCAUAUUCUCAAAAUGUUUAAAAUCAUCGGUACCCAAAAUAACAUUUUGAUAGUGUGAUGCGAACUCCGACAAUCUCCAACCCGAGCUAGCUUGGUGACAUUAUAAAAAAUGGAAAAUAAAACGGAGUAAGCUAUAUAGCUUAGUAAGCUUGUAUGAAAGAAAUAAGCAAACUUUACCAUAUAUUAACAUGCAAGUAAUAUAACAUAAGAUAAUGUAAUUUACCAUAAUCUCAUGAUCAUAACUCACUUCCAUCACAACUUACCUUGAAAUCGUCAUUUCAUGAAUUAAUAAUCAUAAGCUUUAAGUACAUACCUGUACCAUCUCGAAAUAAUUUCAUACUUAGUCUCAUCGUUGUCAUACCCAAUGAACCAAUUGGAAUAAUAAUAUCGGAUACCCGGAAAAACCUUGCACACAAGGUGCCACAUAUGUAGCCAUUGCUACCUCUAUCUCAUAACACAUAUAUGCUCGCUCUUGAACCAUUUACGGGCCAACUCACACAAGCUGUUAGUCAAGACGUAGCUACUCGGUGCUGCUAACAUAACCUGUCAAGUAAUCACAACGUAUGCCGGUUACUCAGCCACCGAUAGGAUGUAUAUGACCAGCACCCGGAUCACAUAACAUAAAACCCUAGUGACAUGUCACUUGUAUCCUAAUCUAUUCUUAAGGUUCAAUUGGGAUUUCUCACUUGCCAAAAUGUUGUCGAACGUGUCCGCAGAGUCAUUUACACAAUUCAUGAAGUAUUAAAGCAUUUAAAAUACAAUUAUAAUAAAGCUUAUUUAACAUACGAACUUACCUCGGGCACAAAAACAAGCAAAGGGAUCUAUUCGUCAAUUACUUUGUUUUUUCCCCUAAUCUAGACCCGAACUUCAUUUUUCUUGAUCUAUAAUACCACAUUUAACUUAUUUAAUCAUCACAUUAUUCAAUUCAGCCUAAAAACACAUUAUGAAAAAAUUUACAUUUUUGCUCCCAACUUUUCAACAUUUUACAAUUUAGUCCCUAAGCUCGUAAAAUGAAUUUCUUUUAAUUUCAUCACAACCCAAGCCUAGCCAAAUAUUAUUUGUACUUAUAAAAGCCUACAUUUUUCAUUUAUUCACACUUUUCUGCACAUUUUAUAGACUUUUACAAAUAAGUUUCUAUUUAACGUUUUUAUCGAAAAUGACUUUAUAAACAUUGUUUAACUAACAACAAUUUGCAUUUUCUACUAUCAAACAUCAAAAUACAAACAUAUUUAACAUGGGUAAAAUUUUAGACUUUAACUUUCUUUCAAAUUAGUCCUUGAAAUAGCUAAAUCAAGUUACAACUGUCUUAAAAAUAUAAAAAUCAUUAAAAAUAGGACAAGAACGGACUUACAAUCGAGCUUGAAAGCUUGGCCAAAACCCUAGCUAUGUCUUCCUUUUGAAUUUCGACUAUGGGGGGAUGAAAUUGAGAAGAUGGACAUCUUUUAUUUAGUUAAUUUUGUCCUUCUUAGCCAAAUUACUAAAAUACCCUUAAUGCAUAACUUUGAAAUUUCACCUAACCAUGUCCAUUUUUGUCCAAGGUAUAAUGGUCUAAUUGCCAUUUAAGGACCUUUAAUUAAAAGUUCAUAACAAUUAGGCACGUUUAACUUAUAGAAUUCAAGUUUUGCACCUAUUGCAAUUUAGUCCUUCUAGGCAAAUUGCGUAUUCAAUUGAUAAAAUUUCUUAACAAAAUUUUCAUACAAUUAUUCUAUCAUGCUGUAGACCUUAAAAUAGAAAUAAAAUAAAUAUUUCUACUUCAGAUUUUGUGGUCUCGAAACCACUUUCUGAUUUGACCCAAAAACGGGCUGUUACAUAUAUCACUAAUCAUAGAAAAACCAAAAAAAUAACAUGCAUAUCAUCCUUUAUACGAGCCCUCAAGGCCCUGAAAACACAUUGGAAAUAAGUUGAGACUAAAUCAAAAACAUUUAGAAUUUUUCAGAAAAAGAUGAAAAUCUUCAAAUUGUAGGGGUCACAUGGUCGAGAGACACGCCCGUGUCUCAUGCCGUGUGGACAUUCGAAAUAGAGACAUACGACCAUGUCCCAGCCCGUGUCCAUGCCCAUGUAACUCUCUGACUUGGGUCACACGGCCAAGCCACACACCCAUGUGUCAGGCCAUGUCACUCUCGAAAUGUAACUUUUAAAAUCCUACAGGGGACACACAGCCGUGUCGCCUGGCCGUGUGUCACACAUGGCUGAGACAGACACUCGUGUCUCUGACCGUGUGGAAGAAAAAUAGGCCAUUUCCAAGCCAUUUUUCUCACCCAUUCAUGCACACACCUAUAACCAAUUUACCACAUGUAAUCAAGCACUCCAAAGUGCACCAAACCAUGUUAUAACAAGCUAUCCAAUUAAGGUACAUGUGUUCAAAAAGCACCUCAAUCACAAUCAUCAAACAUAUAUAUCCAUAUACAUAAAUUGGCCAAAAGUUCAACUAACUUAGAACUAAACUUAUGUCAUAACUUACCACUUUGUUUACCUAUCAAAUUUCACACUAAAAGUAUCAAACAUGCCAUUUUACAUCUAGCACCAAUAGCCAUACAUGUCAUCUUUAACAAUUAUACCAAUUCACAACAUUCAAACAUAUCAAAAGACCAUUUAAAAUAUACGUUUUUAUUUUCUAUUUGAACUUCCAUCAUAUAGUUAUUAUGCAUCUCAAAUAUACAUAUAUCUAACUUAUACAUAAUUAACCAUAACUCAUUCAUAUAUAUAUAGUUUAAUUUCAUACCAAGUUAUACCAUAAUUGGCCAUAUGCCAAAGUUACAUGCAAACAUACCAAUUUGGUUAUUCAAAAGACCACUUCAAAUGACCAUAUCAACUCCAACUAUCAAGGCCAUCUAAAUUACACAAAUCUAAUCGUAUCUAGAUGGUUCCAACAAUCAACAUGUAUAUAAACCAUAUUUCAACCAUGCACAUCUAUCCAAAACCUUUCCAAGGCAUACCAUAUCUUGACCAUGUUGAGGUUACAUCAUCAUAUAUCACUUUUGUAACGCCUCAAAAUCCUAAGUAUUUAUUUUUGUAUGGUUGUGACACAAGUGUGUAUCUGCUUCAGUGGUUAAGUGUCCUAAGAAGUGUCUGAGAAGUCUUGGGUUCAAGCCUUGGCUUGUGUAAAAAUUUUGUUUUAAAUGGAUAAACCCCUGUCUCUAGGCAGUAGGCUUUUAAAUAAAAGUGGGUAAAGCAUGUCAGAAAGAGCCUACUGGUCUAAGAGAUAGUGGCGUGGCAUUGUUACUAAUGGUGUUGAGUUUGAGUCCUACUAUGCGCAAAGAUGUUUUAUUUUGGUGCUAGUGCCGUAGGAGUGUUCUAGCUUAGUCGAAACUCUGGUUUGGGGGGAGUUCAAAUUAGAUGGUUAAGAGAUUGGAGGAGAGUUUCAAGGAGUGGAUCAAAGGAAUUGGUGGUUGGUUUGAGUGAUUUGGUGAGGAAAAUAAGGGAUUUUGAAAGGAGUGGGAGAGUUAGUGCCAAAUGUGAACUCCUGCUUCUUAAAAUUCGACUUUGGUUGCUUUCUCUCCUCAUUUUUGGUUGUGGACAAUUGCUUUCAGGUUCUUUUCACUCUUUGUUUUGGUAGCCGGAUAUUGCUAUUGACCAUUCGAGUACUUUUCGUGUUGGCCUAAUUUGAUUUUUUUUCUUCCUCUACUCCUCUAGCAACCUUUCUCUCAGUUUUCUUUACUUUUGCUGAAUCUUCAUUCUCUCCCCUCCUUGAAUCGAUUUUGUUUUGGCCAAUUCUUUAUUCUUCUUCCUCUCUCAAGCUUUGGCCGAAUACUCCCUUUUCCCUCUUCUUUUUCUCCCAAUUCUUUUUCCUCUCUUCAUUUUGUUGUUUGGCCGAAUACUCCACCUCUCCUCCUCUUAUUCUUUCGAUUUCAGCAUUGUCAUUUGAUCAAUCAGUUUGAGUGUACUGUUGCUUUCUCUUUCUUUUUCUCUCUUUGUCGGGCUAGUCUUGUAUCUAACAUCUUCUUUUACUGCUGAUUUACUAGGACUGUAUUGGUGCUAGCCUUUGCCUCUGUGGUAUCGUGUGAUCGUUAAGGGUAGACCGACUACUUCCUUUCCCUUACACUUGGGUUGCAUUUUCGGUAAGUGGUUAAUCAUUUGGUUCAAUCUGAUCGUGUGAAUAAAUAUUAACUGGAAUUCAGUUAUAAUGCAGUUAAUCGCCUAGGAGCAUAUAAUCAACCUUUUUCAGCGGUUUAAGUAGACUGAGCCAUUUUAGCUCUAUUAAGGCAAGUGACAAUCUCCCUUUUGGACAACUAAAAUAAGAGGGGUCGUGAUAACCCUAUCAUGAAAGGACUAAUGGUGUGUUAUGUUUGACUAUAGGUUGGAGUGCUCGAGAGUAGGGUGCGCACUUUUGCAAACAAGGUGUGUAACACAAUCCCAACUUUGGAAAUCGGCAAAAGCUGGAAUAAGUGAACGACGACGCUACAUGGGCGUGCGCUCGCUCGUGUGGUAGUCCAUGUGACUAAACAUGGGCGUAUAAUUGUCGAGGCCAUCCAUGAGCGAUUUCAUGGGUCGAGGUCGUUAUAGGCCAUUUCGGGUCGAACUAGGCCGUGUGGGCUCCACGGCCAUGUGGGCCCCACUCGAGUAAACCACACAGACGUGUGGAGAAUAUUGGGCUAGGCUGUGUAAUCCACAUGAACAAGGCCAUUUCUGGGCUAUGUGGGCUCACAUGGGCCCGCAUUAUGGGCAUUGGGCCCAUUUUUACUGUUUGACUGUUAAGGUUGCACGGGUCGUCCGAGACUACUGUAGACGUAUUGUUGGGUUGGUAAGUGUACCUGGAGCCCUAACUGAUAAAAUGACUAUGAUGCCCCUAUGUGAUAAAAUGACUGUUAUGCCCCUAUAAGAUGUAUGAUUGAGCAUGCCACUUUAAACAUAUUGAAUACACGUAUGUUAUUAUGACACGUCACAACAUGAUGUAUGAUAUGUUGCAUGGGGAUGAGUUUAUUAUGACUGGAGGAAGUGUACUGUACUGGCAGCUUUGCUGCAUAUACUAUAUAGUGCCGCAACCGGUACUACUUAAAGUGUAAGGAUAGGUGGGUUGAUUAUAUCCCCACAUGGAGUGUAGGGUUGGACGGAAAUGGAAUGUAGAGGCUAGUUGGGUAGGAUCCCUUGAUUGCAUAUCUGUACUGUACUUUCACUGAGAUGGGCUUUGACCCAAACUGAUAUUGAUACUGUAAUGGGCUAAGGCCCUAACUGAUACUAAACCGUCACUGGAUUGGUCUUAGGCCCAGACUGUAUUUACUCACUAUUUGUUUAUUUGAUAUGGGAUUACACACUGAGUUUUCAUAACUCACCCAUCUGUUUAUCUCUACAGGUAAUCCCCAGUCUUAGGCGGAUCGGUGCUGCGAGGGACUCAAAGGUGGCCAUACAACUGAACGUACUUUCGUAUUUAAAUUUUUUAAAUCAUAAGUAAUUUUAUUUUGGGUAUUUUUAAUGUAAUAAGGCCUGUUUAGAUUGUAUUUUUAUUUCGAAAUUUUAAUUUGCUUUGGUUAUAACUGCUUGUAUUAGGAACUCGAAUUUUAAAAAGAAACAAUGUUUUUACAAAGUAAACGCAAGAACGCAAUCAAUUUAGAAAACUUUCGCUAUAAAGCGAUAUCUUGACAUUCAAAAAGUUUUCAAAGUAAAUACCUUUUGAUUGGGACGUAAGUUUAAGAUGAAUGACACGUUUUAAAAUCAUCAAUAAGAUCACACAACGAAGUUAAAUUUCGAAAGGGUUUUUCAAAUGAUAUCACACUUUGCGAAAAAAAACACUUCAAUAUGACAUCGUCAGAUUCGUCCAUAACGUCCAGGCCGGGUUUGGGGAGUUACAACUUUGGCCGUUCAAACAUGAUUUAACACAUUAUCGAAUUAGCACAUAUCAACAAGGUACCAAAUGUACCAAUACAUGCCAAACACAUCAAUUAACAUUCAACUAAUCAUCAACCAUAAGUUCACCUAUACAUGCCAUUAUAACCAAAAUAUCAAAAUCUACCGAUAUAGCUGCUGGAUAGUGUGAUAGACCUCUGAUGAACUUCCAACCCGGUCAAGCUUCCGAUAAUAUAAAAAGUAACGAAAAAACAACUAUGUAAGCAAUGAAUGCUUAGUAAGCUCGUAUAAACUUUAGUCAUAUCAAUCCAUUUCAAAUAUAAAAUUUAUACAUAUCAAGAAUAAUCAUAUAACAAUACUGCAAGGUUCAUGAAACCAUAUCCAACAACUCACAAAGUGAAUAAAUACACAACAUCACAUAUAUAUCAUCCCUAGCAUAGUAGGACUUUAUAAAACUUUAAACCCUUUCAAAUUUUAUUAUUUUUAUUUGUAUUUCUUUACUUUCUAUUGCAUUUACUCUCAUUAGCUCAAAUAACAACAUCAAUUCAAUUCAUCAUUCCCUUUUUCAUCAUUCUACAUUUCAGGUAUGAACUUACUAUUUCAUUACCCUUCGACACCCAUUUCAUAUGCAUAACACACAAGACAUAAGCAUAUCAUUCAAUCAUAGCCACAAGCUGGUGCAUUAAAACGUAACUCCUUUUGGAAUUAGUCAAAUUAUAAACCAUUUCACAAGAAAUUACACAAUUUAAACCUUACCACUCUUUCACGAACAUAAGCAUAUUUCCAUUGGAGCACUUACCAUUUCAAUGCAACUUAUAAGUAAACAUAAUACCAUUCAAUCAGUAGCUUGGCACAUGCCUAAAUAUCAAACAACAACACAUGUUAGCCAUGUAAAUACAUAUAUACACCAAUAAUCAUGGAUGAGCACAACAAUUGAUUAAUUUUCAUAUACAUGUAUCAUCCAAUUCAAUUUUUCAUAUACCAUGUAACAACAUUUCCAUGUAAUUCAUAUGUGUCCCCGUAACAGUCUGUAUUGAACUAUUACCAUUUCAUAUUAGAAUAUUUCCUGUUGAACCAUUUAGAAUACCGCUGGAUACUCGGGAUAGCUCACACAUAGUGUGUUAAACUAUAAUCUGUCAAUUCCUGUACAUGUAUGGUCAUUCGAGCUAUGAAUCGGUAUGCUUUCACAAGAUGUAAAUCAGUAAGCUCAUACGAGCUGGGAAUUGAUAAACUCUCACGAGCUUCAAAUCCAUAAGCUCAUACGAGUUGAAAUAAGUAAUCUCUAAUGACAUGUCAUUUGUAUCCUAUUAAUUCUUCAGGUUCAAAUGGGGCUCGGUAAUCGUCAUACGUCGUUGGAUUUAUGUCGUUUCAUAACACGGUAAAUUGCAUACUAAUAUAUAUUGAUUUUGUCACAAUAUAAUCACAUAUUAACAUUAAAUUUAAUCAAAAUUGUACAGAAUACAGUUCAUACGAACUUACCUGGCUAAAUUGUAGAAAUACCAAGUUUAGGGGCAUAUUGGUAAUUUUCUAUUUUCUCGAUUUUCCAUCCGAUCUUGAUCUAAAUUAAUAAUUUCAUUCAAUAUAUCAAUUUAGAUAAUAAAAAAAAUUCAUUUCAAGCAAUUUGAUCAUUUUGAAAUUUUUACAAAAUUGCCCCUAAAAUUUUACUUUUAUUCAAUUUAGUCUUUUAGCCCAAAACAUGCAAAUUAACCAUUUUACCCAAAAUUGAACCUAGCUGAAUACUUAUGGCAUCAAAUAAAACACAUUAUUGCAACAAUUUCAUAUCAUGUCCUUGUACUUUUACUAUUUUAACAAUUUAGUUCCUCAUUGAAAAAUAUAUCAAAAAUCACUUAAUAAAAUAUUUUUAAAUAUAAACCAACAUUUCAAAUUCAUCACUUAACAUAUAAAAUCAUAAGGUUUAUCAAUGGAAACAUUUAAAAUAUUUAACAAUUUCAAAAUCGAAGGUACGGGCUAGCUAGACCUAGUUGCAACGGUCUCAAAAACAUAAAAUUUUUUAAAAAUAGACCCAAAUUUAGCUUACAUGCAAAGGAGGACUUGGCCGGAUGUUUAAGCUACCAUCUAUGGCUUCCUUCAAUCUCCAAUUUCCGGAAAAACUAAAGAACAAAGAUGAUAGCAUAAUUGUUUUAUUUUUAAUAUAAUUUAAUUUGUCAAAUUACCAUUGUAACCUUGAUUAAUAAUUAAAAUAAACAUCAAAUUCAAGCCCAUAAUUUUCCAAACACCUUGAAUGGUCUAAUUAUCAUUUAAGUCCCUUUUCCUUUAUUCAAUUAACCAUUUAAUCACUCAAAUCAAAUAGCGAUCAAAUUUUACAUCUUUUAUGGUUUAGUCUUUUUUAAUUAAUUAACUAUCGAAACUUUAUAAUUUUUCAACAAAACUUUAAUACCACCUUAAUGACACUCCGUAAAUAUUUAUAAAAAUAUUUACGGCUUGGUUUAUAGAAAUGAGGUCCCGAUACCUUACUUUCUAAAACCACUUGACCUUAGGGUCUUACCACUUGAACUUAAUUAAUCCUUGAAAUAGUAUAUAUUAUCAAAUCAAAAUGUAACAACCCGUUUUUAGUCAAAUUGGAAUAGUGGUUUUGGGUCCACAAAUCCGAGGUUGUAAAAUUAUUUUAAUAUUAUUUUAAGUCUUUGCAGCAUGAUACUAUGCAUGUGUGAAAGUUUUGUGAAGAAAUUUUAUCGUUUGAAUAGUUAAUUUGAUAAAAAGGACUAAAUAGCGUAAAAUGCAAAAGUGCUGUCCUAUUAGCUAAAGGUGACAAAUAGCUAUGGUUAAUUUAGAUGUCCUUAUGUGGUAAAUAUACCAUUAAUAGCAUGAGUGGACAAUUUUGGACAACCAUUAUGUGAUUUGAAUGGUUUAAUAUUAAGGUUAAUAUGGUAAAUGAUAAUUAAAAGGUUAAUUAAAUAAAAACAAAAAAAACAAUAAUUUUAGUCAUCUUUUUUGUUCUAGCCGAAACUAAGAGAAGAAAAACAUCCACGAAAAGCUUUUAGGGUUCGGUCACUUGGUAGCUCAAUUGGUAAGUGAUUUUGACUCGAUUUUUAAUGAUUUUUAUGUUUUUGUGAUCGCUGCUUCGUAUUCUAGCUAGCUCGUGCCUUAAAUUUCAAAACUGUUAAAGAUUUAUCAUGUUUCCAUUGUUGAAUUACUUGAGUAAUUUGAUGAUUUAUGAUAGAUUUGGAAGGUUUAAUAUUUGAUUAAUAGCUUUUGUAAAGUAGUUUUUGACAAGAAUGUCAAAAAGGGAUUAAAUUGAGAAAAUGUGAAAUGUGGUAGUUAAAAGUGUGAAUAAAUUGAAAAUAUGGGCUGCUAGAAACAUGUGUUAAAUUCGGCUAAGCAUGGGUUUGUGCUAAAUUGCAUGAAUUUGCAAUUUUAUGAAAUAAGGACUAAAUUAUGAAAAAUGUGAAAGUUUAGGGGCAAAUGUGUAAAAUAACCCUAAUGCAUAUUUUGGAUUGAAUUAAAUAAAUAGUUUAUUAAAUGAGUUAAUUUUUAAUAUAUUUAGAUCAAGAAAAAUGGAAUUCGGAUCAGGAUCAGGGAAAAAUGAAAGUUAUCGACUAAUCGACUCGAUUCACCGUUUUAAUAUCUGAGGUAAGCUUGUAUGUAAUAAGCACUAUUAUAACUAUGUUUUUAAUGCUUUGAUAUUGCAUAAAUUGUAUUAAUGGGACUACAGUCAUGUUCGAUGACAAAUCAGCUACAUAUGGCACUUUGUGUGCUAGAUCGGCUAUACAUGACACUUAGUGUGCGAUUCGAUAUAGCUUCGGCUAUAUAUGGCACUUACUGUGUAAUUUGAGAUAGCCUCGACUAUGUACGGCACUUAGUGUGCGAGAUAUCGAGUAUUUAAUGGUACGCCGAAUAUGUAUGAGCUUGUUAUGGAUUGUUACAGGUAUGUAUAUGCGUAGUAUGAACUUUAAAUCGAAUAAGUUACGAGGUUGCAUAUAAGCAUAUGAAUAAGCAUGUGAAAGAUUUGUUAGUAAUCAUGAAUUUCAUGUUAAUAUGUUUAAAUUGAUGAAUGGUGUAUUUAUGAUUAGUUAAGUUUAUAUCAUACGAGCUUACUAAGCUAUAAAACUUACUUUGUUUACUUUCCAUGUCUUAUAGUGAUUUCAAAGCUAACUCGGAUUCGGGGAUCGUCGGAGAAUACGUCACACUAUCCAACCAUUACUUUGGUACUUUUGAGCUUAUGGUUUGAUCAUAUGACAUGUAUAGGAUAUUGGUCAUGUUGGUUAUGUCUUGGUAGUGAAUUUUGUCAUUUCAGAUGGCCUAUGAAUGGUUAUGUUUUGAAUUGUAUAUAUAUAUAGCCACGAGACUUGCCUUGUUUUGGUAUGUUUGAAUCAAGUGUAGGUUUAUAUAAAUAUAUGGCUUAUUGUAACACCCCUAACCCGUAUCCAUCGUUGGAAUAGCGUUACGAGGUAUUACCGAUCAUUUCACAACAUAUAGCAUACAUUUAUCAAACAUAAAGCAUUCAUUCUCAUAAAUCAUUCAACACAAUCACAAUGUCCCUUAUAAGGGCCUAUGAGGCCUUAAACAUGCUUUAGAAGUGGUUCGGGACUAAACCGAUAACAUACGAAAAUUUUUGGAAACUUAGAAAAAUUUCAAUCAUACAGGAGUCACACAUUCGUGUGAAUAGGCCGUGUGCCUCACACGGCUCCAGACACGCCCAUGUCUUAGGCUGUGUGAAAACAGGGCAUACCUACUGACUUGUAUCACACGGCCGAGGACACGCCGUGUGCCAGGCCGUCUGAAAACUGGAGGGUAUACUGACUUAUGCAACACCGCCAAGUCACACGCCCGUGUGCCAAUUAGGGGGUAUAUUGACUUGUACUACACGGCCAAUCACACGCCCGUGUGUGAAAUCGUGUGGAGCAUACUGACUUCAAUUCAAUUUUAACACCAGGAGACACACGGUUGCAUAAAAUGAUCGUGUGUCACACAUGGUUGAACACACGCUUGUGUGGACAAAAAUAGGCCAUCCGCAAGGCCAAUUUACCACCCCAACUUCAAAGUAUCUAUACAAGGCAAAAUGGUACCGUUUCAUUAUACAAUUAGGCAGCCAAAAUCAUCAACCAAAUUCAUACCAUUAUAAUUUCAUCUAUUCCAGUUCUCAAAUCGCUACCAUUUACUUAGCCAAAUACAUGCCAAAACUGUAAUAUCCUGAUUUUGGGCCUAGUCGGAAUAGUGGUUUCGUGACCAUAAAAUCCGAGAUAGAAAUAAUUAUUUUAUGAUUAUUUUAAGGUCUAUGGUAUGAUUGCAUGAUUGUGUGAAAAUUUCGUGAUGAAAUUCUAUGCCUAAAGUGCUUAAAUUGAAAGUAGGGACUAAAUCGAAUAAGUUACAAAACUUGCAUUCUAGAAGUUUUUAGUAUUGUUUUGGAAUAUUAAUGAGGAGGUCUUAAAUAUAAAUUUGACCAAUUUUAAGUUCAUGGACAAAAUUAGGACAUGGAAGGAAUUUUUGGAAAGUUUAGUAGUAAGGGCAUUUUGGUCAUUUAGGGGUAAAAUGAAUUAAAAUACAAAAUUAAAAGCCAAUUUGGCUCAUCUUCAACCCCAUGGCCGAAUAUAGCAAGGAGAAACCAUGGCUAGGGUUUUUCAAGCUUCCAAGCUCGAUUGUAAGUCCGUUCUAGCCUCGUUUUUAAUGAUUUUUACGUUUUUUAGAGUCCCGGUAGCUCGAUUAAGCUUAUGCUAGCAAUAAUUUAACCUAGGGUUUAUAUUUGGAAAAAUACCCAUAGGUGAAAUUUGUGUAUUUUGGUGUUUUAUGAUAGAAUAUGAGGUUUUAAAUUAUGUUAGACAACUUGUGCUACUCGGUUUUAAGCGAAAACUAGCAAAAAGGCUUAAUCGGUAAAAAUACCUAAUAGUCAUAAAUACAUGUUAGAGUGAGAAUUUGAUGUUGCCAUAGAAGGGAAAAAUGAUCAGCAUGUCAUAAAACAUAAGAAAAUAGGUUGAAGUUUAAUUCCCGAGCCUAGGGGCAAAAGUGUAAAUAUGCAAAAGUUUAGGGGCAAAAUUGUAAAUUUUCCAAAAUAUGAUUUUGGGUCAAUUUGAAUAAUGUGAGUCCUAAUUAGACUAUAUUUUAAAUGAUAGAGCAAGGAAAACUGAAAUUCGGGCUAAAAUGGGGAAAAUACCAAGUUGUGGACGAAAUGGUAAAAGUAGCCAUUUUCGCAUACGAGGUAAGUUCAUGUGUAAAUGUAGUAACAUAAUUGUCAUUUUAAGCAAUUUAAUGUUGUUUAUAUGAUAUGAUGCUGAUUAUUAUAAUGAAAUAUUAUGCUUUGUGGUUAUUGUUGAAUAAUAUGUAAUUAUGUGAAUUACUUGAUGAGUAUGAACUAUCACCGAAGUAUCAAUUUCGAUAUUCCGUGGAAGAUGGCAAAGAUGUGUGAUCGAGGGAAAAAGCCCGUUUGAACCUUAGGAAUAGAUUAGGAUACAAGUGACAUGUCACUAGGAUGGUUGAGCAUCCGAACUCGUUGAGUUGAGUCCGAGUUCGAGAGAUGUAACUAGGCAUCCGAGCUCGUUGAGUUGAGUCCGAGUUCACUUAUGGAUGCGAACGCCCGAGCUCGUUGAGUUGAGUCCGAGUUCACUUAUGGGCGGGUUACAUGGUAGCUUGGCUACAUAUGUGGCACUUAUGUGCAAACUUUCCAUGUAUCCGAAUUAUAUUCCGAUGUGUUCAACGGGUAAAGUUUUACUCAAAUGGAGGAAUACCCGAGAUGAAAAGAGACGUAUUGGUAAGUGAUGAGAAAUGGAUAUUUUGGACAGGUAUGUAUUUAACCCUCGGGUUGAGUGUUGAUUACAACCACGAUAAGGUAAUAAGAUGAUGAAAAAUGAUUAAAAAAUGUGAUAAGUGUGUUGAUGAUAUAUGCUAAUGUUGAUUAGUUUGAUUGUUUGUUAUGUUAUUUAUUAUUUACAUAUGAACUUACUAAGCAUUUAUGCUUACUCCCUCCUUCUUACUCAUUGUAGUUUUGGACAAGCCAGUUCAGGAGUCGGGAUAGGUCGAAGGCUCAGUCACACUAUCCGGAAGAUUUUUGGUAAAUGGCUUGUAAAUUUAAGUAUGACAUGUAUAGCAAUAUACUUAUUUUGUGUAAAUGAUCUUAUGAUAUGGUGACAGAAUGGUUGAGAAAAUAUUUGAUAAUGAUAAAUUAUGAAAAUGGUAAGUUUAGAUUAUGUUUGAUGUUAAGGAAAAUUAUUAAGAUACUUAGUGCAUAAAAACUCAUAAGAGGGAUGAAAUUUGCCAUAAAUAGAAUACUACAGCAACACUGACGCGAGUUUGAAAAUUUACUAAAAAUCAUAGCAAUUGAAUUUGGUGAUGGGAUACAUAUCAAAUUGAAGCUUAUUAUGUCUAAUUUCACAUGAAACAAAUGAAACAGGUAAAGGAAUUAUAUGUUAGAAGAUAUUUGAAUUUUAGUGAAACAGGGUCAUAGCAGUUUCUGAAUCCCCUGUUCCUAAUUUAUAAAUUCACCAUAAAUUGUAAAGAUAUAAUUAGGUGUUGUAUUUUAUAUCCUCAGAAUCCUUAUUGAGUCUAGUUUUAGGAGAAACAAACCUCAUAGUCAUAUGAAUUUUUUACAGAGAGAAAUGUGGUUCGUAGUAAACAGAGGUCAGACCAGUCAAGUCCUGAAACAGGGGUAACUUUAACUAAUAAACUGUACUAAUUGGCCCUACCAAAAAUUUUAUAAAAAAAUUAGUAGAUAGGUAUAUGAGUCUAGAUUCAGGGAAAAUUUACGGAUAUUGAUUUUGAGUUUUUUAACUCGAGAUAUGAUUUUUCUUGUGACUGUGACGCAAGUAGCUUAAAAGCUGUGAAUGUAGAAACAAAUAAUCCAAAGUUCUAAAAAUGUUAAAUUAAGCUUAGUAACACCUCAUACUCGACUCCGGCGACGGUCUCAGGCGUGGGGGCGUUACAAAAACAAUAUCAAACAAUAUGGUUCAUUUAUCAUAAUUCACAUAACCAUUUUAACUUCCAUAAUGUCUUGGUUGCAACCAUGCCAAAACAAACCAAAAUAAGCCAUCACUCAUGGCUAUAUUUAUAAAACCCAAAACAUAUACAUUUACAAGCCAUUUCUAAUAGCCAAACACAUAUCAAUAUUAACAUCAUUUACAAGCCAAAUCUCAUGGCUAUAAUCAUAACCAAAAUACCACAUAUAGCCUAUAUAUGCCAUAUACCCUAAAUGUAUAAUUCAAAAGUACCAACUUAGAUGUUUGAUAGUGCGAUGAUGUUCCCGACGACUCCUAGAUCUGAGCUAGCCUUAAUUCACUAUAAAACAUAGAAAAAUAACACGAAGUAAGUUCAUAGCUUAGUAAGCUCAUAGAUGAAUAACUUAAUUCAUUAAAUCAAUGCAAAUCAACCAAUUACACAUGACAAAACCAUAUACACAUUAACUACAAACCUUUCUCAUGUCUCAAAACAUGAUCAAAUACCAUCUCAUUGAACUUUCACUAUUUAAUACUCGAAUAGGUUCUGUACAAAGCUGUAUUACCUCGUACUAACCUCUUCCUUAACCAUAUCAUUCGUUUACCUGUUGAACCAUUCGAAAUAGAAAUCAAACACUCAGGGGUCUAGUACAAUAAUAACCUAUACCAUGGCUAGUAGCCGAAUCAAGGUAACUUAUCUGAAGAACUAUUAUCAUGGCCCGUAGGCAAAUGAUCCGAUGUGCAUGGCCUGAAGCCAAAUCGGUAAAAUACGCACCUGAAGUGCUAAUAUUAUGGCCCGAAUCCAACUCAACAUAUCAUUUAUUGACAUGUCAAUAGUAUCCAAAACUAUUCUUACAGUUCAACCGGGCUUUCACACUUUUCGAUUCUAUCAUCGAAUGCAUCCGUAAAGUCAGUUUCACACUUCAUACAUUAUCCAUAAUCUCGUUUUAAAAAUUAAUGCAAUAUUAAAACAUUUUAACAUACAUUUAUAAUGUAAUCAUCACAUACGAACUUACUUCGUAUUCGAAAUUGACGGAUCAAGUCGACUACUCGAUAAUCUUGCUUUUCCCUCAAUCUAAUUCUAGAUUCCUCUUUUCUUGAUCUAAAUACAUUCAAAGUUAACUUAUUUAAUCAACCAUUCAUUCAAUUUAGUCCAAAACAUACAUUUAGGCCUAUUUGCACAUUAGCCCCUAAACUUUCACACUUUUAACAAUUUAAUCCUUAUUUUAAAAAACACAAAAUUCACAUAAUUUAAAUAAACACAAGCUAGGCCAAAUUAUUUAUAGGUCCUUAGCAGCCCAAAACUUUCAUUUAUUUCACAUUUCAACCAUACAAUUUGUACAUUUCACAAUUUAAUCCCUAUUAUGCAGUUUCAUCAAAAAUCACUUUACAAAACAUGUAAAACUAUCAUCAAGCUUUCAUAUUUCAUCUUCAAAUGCCAAAGAACACAUAAAAUCAUCAAUGGAAACUCUUAAAAUCUUUAACAGAUUCGAAAUUAAAGGUACAGGCUAGCUAGAUUGAGCUGCAACGAUUACAAAAACAUAAAAAUCAUCAAAAAUCAAGCUAAAACCGUACCUUAAUCAAGCUAGGAGUGUGCCGAAACUUAGAAAGCUUCAAACCCUAUCUUUUUUUUCUAUUUUUGGUUUCCAAUGAAGAAGAUGAACACAAUUUCAUCUUUUGAUAUAAUUUAAUUAACUUAAUUUAUCAAUUUACUAUAAUAACCUUUGUUAUAAACAUAUAAAAACAUAUAAUGGAUGGCCAUAAUUGUCCGUUAACACUACCAAUGGUCUAACAUCAUCAUAAGGACUUUUAAUUUAAUAAAUCAUAGCAAUUAAACACCUUUAACAAGUAGAAUGCAACCUUUUCUUUUUACGCAAUUUAGUCAUUUUCACAAAUUAACCAACCAAUCAAUAAAAUUAGCUUACGAAAUUUUCACACAUAUCAUAUAACAUGCUGUAAUUACCGAAAAUAAUAUUAAAAUAAUUUCUUAACAUCAAAUUUGUGCUUUCAAAGUCACUUUCUAAUUUAGCUAAAACCGGGCUAUUACACUUAUGUUGUGAGUUCAUGUAAAAGUAUUUUAAGUCCGUGGAUGAAUAUAUGAAUGACAUGUAUUAUGAGGUUUGUGGAAUUGGUAUCAUGCUUGUGAAUUGGUACAAAAUGAUGUGUGUUUGGUAAGUGUUUAGCUAGUUGAUUGGUAUAUGUGUUUAGGUAUGUUUUGAUUAAGAAAAACAUAAGUUAUAAGCAUGUUGGUUAUUAGUGUUGGAACUGUUAUGAAAUUUGCCUUGGUUGUGGCUAAAAUAUAUGUUCAAUUAUGCUAUAUUGUGGUUCCAUUUGGGUUGUUUAGGUACAUGAAGUUGUGGGUGAAAAAUUGUCUUGGUAAAUAGCCUAUUUUUGUCCACACGGGUAGAGACACGGGCGUGUAUCUCAGCUAUGUGUAACCACAUGAUCAUAUUACAUAGCCGUGUGUCCCCUAGUGUUAAAAUUUAAAUCAAGUCAAUAUGCUUCACAUGGCCUCACACACGGGCGUGUGACUUGGCCGUGUGGCAUAAGUCAGUAUACCCUACAGGUUUGGCAUGGCCUAGUACACGGCCUGGCACACGGGUGUGUGUGACCAUUUUUAGGGCACAGGGCUAGCCACAUAGGCAGCAUGUUGGCUGUGUGACCUAAGUAAGAGA
rnacentral:lncRNA from 1 species